AUAAAAUACCACUCAAUUAGUCAAUGAUGACGUGUUAACUUACCUUCCCCCAUUAUGUGGGGUUCAACCGCAACAACAGCAAUCCGUUGACCUGAUUGACUCAUAACGCGUAUUGGCCCACUUGUCAAUAUAGGCCCACGGGCUCAGUCAACUGUCCGUUAGAAAGCCCACCUUAAACGUUUAUCUCACGAAGAAUAUAAAGCCCACUACUAGACGGGCUCUGCGCGAUUCAAGCUCAUUUAUGCUAAGUCAGCAACUGAAAGGAAAUGCCCAGCCCACUUCGAUCUCUCCUCCUCCGCCUCGCGCUCUGCGGAAGUGCGAAUCCGCGGCGUUGCUCUUCCUCUUCCUCUUCGAUGCUGCGUGGGCGCCGCGGAUUUCGCCGUGAGCUGGCGGGGCAAACAUGCUUGUGUUUCUGUUGCGUCUCAGGCCUCUACCGGCCACCGCGCCAUGGGAUGUCUGAUGUCUCCGUGAUGUUGCUUGUCGUGGCACGCUUGGCGCGUGCGCGCCAAGUGUUCGACGGAAUGCCGGCCUGCAGUGAUGCCGCUCAGUUACCCUGUCUCCGGUUGCACUAUGCACCCUGUCAACCCUGCCUGCCCGUUGCUGCGGUGAACUACAUCCUAUAAUUGCAUCGCCACUGUCCGCCAUGGUCACAGCUCACAGGCUUGAUUAACCAUCUCUUUCAACUUCUCCAAGCAUGCAACUGUGCUUCUACAGCGCCUGCUGGUUUGGAUUCGAGCAUCUCACUGCUUUAGGACCAAUCGAUCUCUUUCUUUCUUCCUGACAUGACUAUAUCUUUCUGGUUGGUGUGCUGGACUCCAUGCCGUCCACUAUGCCAGCACUGUGCUGUGGGCAUCAGUUAGCUGGUAAUCAUCCCAGCUCCACACUCGUGCUGCUUCGGCACCGCGGCUCCGAUAAAUCUAAUCAUCGGCACUUUCAAGUGGCGAGCAGAAACUUUCUCCAGAGUAUAAAUUGCCCAGCAUUGGGGGAGCUUGAUGAUCUGGACUGGAAUCGCCCUUUUUCUUGUUGUUCUUCAGCACCAGAAUUCAGAACACUCAGUUAUGUGCCAGCCUUGAUGGUUUCUACGGGGAGAAUGCUCCUGAAAAGGAAACAACUCUAUCUACCUUGACUAACUGGUGUUACUGCGUGCAUCCUUGGAGAUCUUCUUCGCAACUAGUGCCCUCAAAGUGGCUGCACAAAGUGGUAGUGACUUGCAAGAACUUUGCAUUUUCCCUGAUAAUGUAAUUGGGCUAGAAGUGGAGCAUUUCCAUCUGUGAGUAAGUCAUUUCAAAAGGCAACGCAGGAAUUCAAAGGAGAUACCGUCUUGGAUUGAAAGUUGAGAAAACGAAAAGGCGGGAUGGGAAUUUCUCAUUGUGGGAUUCUAGAAAUUUUAGACCGGACUAAAUCCUGUCUUCUGCGGGUAAGUGAUCUGUCCAAAUCACAUGAGCUGUCUACAUUAUGUUGCUUCAUGUUCAAACCACAUAGGAUUUUCCAGGACAAAUUUUACUAAUAUGCAGGAAUGCUUUUGUUCUUGGUAGAAUAAUAUCUCAAGAAUGGAUGGGUAGCUAGAUCAAUAUUA